rnacentral:lncRNA from 1 species
AUUGGCUCUAAGAUUUUAGUCCUGGACUUUCCCUAUCUAUAGAUCUCUAUACAAACAUCAGUAUUUAUGUAUACAUUCCAGAUUCCUGUUUUAUAUAAUGGUAAAUCUAGGAAACUCUUUGAAAAAAAUGUAAUAUAAAAAUCUCGUUCUUUCCCUACCCUACUAUCUCCUCUCAUUUCACAGAUGAAAUCAUCAAGGCCCACGGAAAUGAAAUGACUUGCUAUGUUCACACAGUUAAGUGAAAUAAGGAGGCUAGCUGAUAAAGAAUAAAAAUUCUAAGUCCAGGAUUUUUAUUCAUUUUCUCUACCAAUUAAAAUUGUAAUAUAAAAUUAAUUGAAUGUUGAGACAUGAAAGUUCCAGUAAGCUUUGAGUGAUUGGUUUUCAUUUCUAAUACAGGAAUAUAAAUCCUAUAUUCCUAAGGAUACUUUUGAAACUCUUGACCAGCAAAUUAAUAAAAGUAGUCAAGCUGCAAGUCAUCAGCCAUUGACAGUAGCACAAAGAACGUUUGAGCUUGAGUGCAGUUCAAUGGCACUACUUCAUCAUUCUCUCAACAGGAGAACACAGGUCUCCAAGACUCAAGUGAAUCACUCAGAUGGGACUGCAGUGCUCCAGGAAUCAGAAGUGCUGUCCUCUCACUCACCUAGUCAGAUGGUCUAGAAGGGAGUCUCUACGGUGGAGCCCACAUGGACUGCACUAUGGAUAUUUUAAGUCGCUGAAGUUUGGAAUUGUUUAUACCAUAGCACAACUUACUCUGAAUAGGCAAUCAUCAGUCACUCACUCUAUGAUAACAUCUGAGUUAUCCAUUCAUUACCAAAUGUGUUGUGCUCCCAAAAGACCAUGUCCAGCCAUGACUAGAGCUGGUGAAUAAAAUGGAACAAGAGAGAUCCUGUGCCCCUCAGGCCCACUGGGCAAGGGAAUAUACCAAAAACCAUGAAACAAGAACAUGAGAAGCAAAAUCUUCAAAACACUGACCACAUAAAGAGGCAAGGGCUUUCAAACAAGCAAUAAUUACUUCCUUUUGGAAAGUGAUAGAAACUUCUAAGGCCAUGUGACCAUGAGAUGUGCUUAAAGGGGGUUAGAGUAUGUAUGCUGGUGGUGGUAGGUAUGGGGACUCCCUAGGGUUGGUGCAGGGUGGACAGGGCCCAAAGCUAUCAGAAAGGUGAAUGUGGAGAUCUCUUCUCACAAUAGCUGUGCAGGUACUGACUCUUGGUGCUAGAAUCUCAGCAGCCAACAUCACCAAUGGGACUUGGUCUUUAAAAUAGAUGGAGCCCUGCUUCUUAUUGAUAGAAGUAUUCAUACCUACGGACUUAUCUCCCUUUUGUAGGACACUGUAGUUUUACUCCAUGGGACAUAGAAACAAGAGAAUUGAUUUCAGACAAAGUAGCUGAAUAUUCUGCUCUUAAAGAGCUUUUCCCAGGCUCAGUUGGUUUUCUUUUAAUUAGUUCAGGGUUCUAAUAUAGUAUUCCUUUUAUUUGUUAGUAUAAAUUCUCUGACAUUGCCCUCUUCCAAAGCAAAAACCAGGUACUUCCAAAAAUAUUUUAGGUGUACUCAAAGGUUUUGGGACCAUUUGAGCAUUCUGGAGGUCAGUACACAUACCAAGACUUCAGUCCCAUCCCUUGUCUUGCUGUCCUGUAGUUAAGGCAAGAUCAUAUCAGUCCACACACACACAAACAGCAACAGUGGUUUCCAUGGUGAAACACCAUACAUGUGUGACUCCAGGGAUCUCUGGAAGAACCUUUGAAGACUGAAAAACAAAUGCAGAGGGCAGACUGGCACAGGGCUAUGGUCUAUUUUGUUGUUUUAUGUAUUGUUGCUGUUUUGGUUGGUAUCUGUGUUUUCAUUCUCUUUUUAAAAUAUGCAAUUGUGUUUUUGUUUUAGUCUAUGCCCUUUUUUCCCUGUAACAUUUGAGUAAUUUAGUUUCUCUGUCAUUUUUUAUUUUAACUACCUUUAAUUUGUAACAUUAAUUGUUUACCCACCAUGUUUCAUACCCUUCAUGAAAAGACCUUCAUGACUGGCUAGUGCGAGAUGAUCUGUAGUUCAUAAGGCUAAGAUUUCUUUAUUCAGAUAAAUACCAGCCCAAAUGCAAGCCAGAGCAUACCCAGAGGCCGCAAGCUAGCGUGACCAGAGAGAAGGGGCAUCCACAUGUUCGUGGCCCCUUAAGAAUUCUCUUGGCUUCAUAUUCGACCUCCCCUGGCCACGCCCUCAUGGGCACACCUCACAGGCACACCCGUAGGGGCUACUAGGAGACGGGCUACAUUGUCUUCCUACAACUGCCCUUCAUUUUCCUAUACCCAUAAAAGUCUUCUAUUUUACAUUUCUGUAGAUCAUUUAUACAAUUCCUUGUUUGCUCUGUUCCCCAUUCCUUAUAAGCAGUGAAAUGAAAAUACGAAUACAUUUUGCUCCAAAUAAAAACAAAAAACACUGUGAACCA